ACACAGAUGACGAGUCCCAAAUAGGACGAAAUGUGAGUCAUGUAU
rnacentral:hammerhead_ribozyme from 1 species